rnacentral:rRNA from 1 species
UACGUAGGGUGCGAGCGUUAAUCGGAAUUACUGGGCGUAAAGCGUGCGCAGGCGGUUUUGUAAGCCAGAUGUGAAAUCCCCGGGCUCAACCUGGGAAUGGCAUUGGAAACUGGCGGACUCGAGUGUGGCAGAGGGGGGUGGAAUUCCGCGUGUAGCAGUGAAAUGCGUAGAGAUGCGGAGGAACACCAAUGGCGAAGGCAGCCUUCUGGGCCAACACUGACGCUCAUGCACGAAAGCGUGGGGAGCAAACAGG